AAUCGCAUUUCUCUCGGUUGAGCUUCAAUGGCGUUACGUUCUUCCUCUUCGUGACUUUUGCAAUUUCUCUAAUAACUCUUAUCUUCUCCUAUUAACUUCAUCAAUAACUGAAUCCUUUUCAACUUUCUUCUCUCUCUCUCUCUCUAUAAGGAACAUGAAAGUGAAAAAAUGAGUUUUACACAAACUCGGUUUCAAUCGAUCUCAAUGAUCCAAAAUGGAAAAAAGUAGCAUAGCUGCUUGGUGUGAAGGCUGUGUUUCUUCUCCCCUGUCCAUGGUCGAAUCGCUCCUAAUGUUGAAUGUUUGACAAGGCACCACCACCUUUCUCAUCCAACCCGAGCAACCCAUCGAUAUUCUCAUCGGCAUUUCGUCGAACAGAUAGCGCGCACACCGCCCGUUCCCACAGAAACGACACGAGGGCUUUCUCCGGGACGGCGACUUUAAAGCCCUGGAGAACACGGCGGAGCGAGGUUUUGAGACCGUGCCAUUUGUUCAUUGUGGCGAAAAUCUGCUGCGAGCUUAAAGUCCGAGCUUGAUAGCUUUGUGGGUCAUUGAUUCGAGGCAAUUCUCGAGGUGGGUUUUGCAGUUCGAUAGCGAUGGUUGCAUCAUUGCUUCAAGCUGCAAUAUCGAGAGCUCCUCUGAAUGUUCCUGGAAGUGCUUCUGGUUCUGGUCCUGGCACCACCAAUUCAUUACCUUCCAUGAUCCCAGCCGGAAGUGCUCCUCCACUUUCACCUAGAAGCUGCGGUUCACCGCGUACGAUGAAACAGAGGGCUCCUUCUAAGUUAGGCUCUCCUCUUAAAGUGCUCAACGAGCCUGUUAAAAGUCCAUAUCUCAGGAAUACUCAAACGGAGGUUUACGGGAUUUACGGUGGUUUGCUCCGGGAUUUACGGUGGUUUUCGCAAGAGCUUCAACUAUGCUUUUUCAUAUUACAUGGGCAACAUUAUCAGAACUGGCCAUGGAAAGACACGAGUAAGUUUGAUGCCAAGAUCCCUAAUCAUGAAUUUGACAACUUCAGUUUGCGAAUUUCACAGAGAUCAUAAAGAGAUUCAUCAGAGUCAGCCAAAGAAACUGAUUUUGCUCCUGUUUCUAUAAUGGAGAUUCCCUUUCACUAUCAGGCAGGCUGGUCCAGACGCGACCUCUCUGCUUCUAUAAGAGGCUAGGAAUGUUUUAAAAAGGAGGCCAAUUGAUGGUUGUUGAUAUGCUGUUUCUCGAUGCCAAGGAAAUGGGAACUGCGAUUCAGGCAUCUAUUAAUGUUCACCGGCUCAACACCUUCCAAUACUUUUUGAGUGGAGGGUCUGUUUAUGAGCUUAGUGUUUUCGAUGUAACCAGACACAAAUAUAUGUCUUAAGUGUUUUCGACAUACUUGCUAAGCUUCUUGAUGAAUAUUUGCUAAAGAGAGAAUAAACCGAGGGUGGUGGUGGCCACCAACAUCAGACCCAAAUGAUUUGGAGAGAGACUUUACCUAAAUGCAACCUCUUCCAUAAUGACUGUGAUGCUGGGAGAAGUUAUCUCCAGACGUAUGCAUGCUUAAGGAUGAACCUCAAACCCUACAAAGUAUCAUGGUGUUAAGAAGAUUGAGGCAAUGACGUGGGAGAACUAAAUGACUACGCCCUCAAAUCUGCACCUCAGCGGAAAUGACCACCCAGUCGACGAUACGCCAGGGGCUGGAGCUGUCAACAGAAGCCACAUUGAUAGGGUCAAUAGCAGUGGCGUGAAUGAAGGUGGGUGUAUCGAAACUGCCCAUGUCUAAGGUGGAGAAGAUGAGCGCCAAGUACAAACUCAGGUGAAGGUGGAACCUAAGCGAGGAUGCUCAAGUCAACAUGAACAAUUUGGGUCCUCCGGAAAUAAACCACGGACUGAGUAAUGGAGCUCAUUUCAACUACAAUAACUGAAAGAUCAAGCUCUGCUAUUCCACCAAAACCAAGGUAAUUAAUUGCUCACUGAGCAAAGGUAUGCAAAUUCUUUAUCCAAAAAGAAGAUGCUCCUAUGUAAUGCAGUUGUGGUUUCUUUGAAUUUGCUCUCCACGGGAAAGAGCUGAAGAAUGUAUUUUGGGCCUUUUUUGUGGCAUAAGUGAAGAAUGGGCCUUCUGAUCUCAUCACCUUUAUUUUUAUUUUUGUAAAUUAGUCAAACCUUAACCCUCUUGAAUGCUACUUACAUUUAGUGACUCUAAUCAAUUUUUUGAUGAA